GGACUGUGGCUCUGUGGUAGAGCACUUGCCUAGCAUGCAUGAGGCACUGGGUUAGAUCCCCAGCACCA
rnacentral:tRNA from 1 species